CAUGUGGACAGAGCGGAACAGCUUUGUGUGAGAGAAGAGGGAGGAGUUAUCAGGCUGAGACCCAGGAAGAGGAGCGGUCUGACAUGAACGGGGCCUGUCAGCUCACACCACGUUGGUUACACCCAUCCUCAAGUUGUAGCUCUGAAGGGGAGGGAACGAGAAACAUGUGGACAGAGUGGAACAGCUUUGUGUGAAAGAAGAGGGAGGAGUUAUCAGGCUGAGACCCAGGAAGAGGAGCGGUCUGACAGAGAUACUGUGUAAAGAGCAACGUCUAGUGGAAAACCUCAUAUCUGCAAACAGCUGACAACGUAGAGAAUGACAUUAAAUGGAAGCCAGAGCGCAUCAAUUCCAGGAGACUGAUCAGCUCAGUGAAGAUCUCCUCACUGUGAUCCACUGCUUUAUCAGCAGAGCGA